GACGAACGCUGGCGGCGUGCUUAACACAUGCAAGUCGAACGAUGAAGCCCAGCUUGCUGGGUGGAUUAGUGGCGAACGGGUGAGUAACACGUGAGUAACCUGCCCUCCACUCUGGGAUAACUCCGGGAAACCGUUGCUAAUACUGGAUAUGACUGCUGCCUGCAUGUGUGGUGGUGGAAAGAUUUAUCGGUGGUGGAUGGACUCGCGGCCUAUCAGCUUGUUGGUGGGGUAAUGGCCUACCAAGGCGACGACGGGUAGCCGGCCUGAGAGGGUGACCGGCCACACUGGGACUGAGACACGGCCCAGACUCCUACGGGAGGCAGCAGUGGGGAAUAUUGCACAAUGGGCGGAAGCCUGAUGCAGCGACGCCGCGUGCGGGAUGACGGCCUUCGGGUUGUAAACCGCUUUCAGCUCUGACGAAGCAUGUGUGACGGUAGGAGCAGAAGAAGCACCGGCUAACUACGUG
rnacentral:rRNA from 1 species